UGGGGAAUAUUGGACAAUGGGCGCAAGCCUGAUCCAGCCAUGCCGCGUGGGUGAUGAAGGCCCUAGGGUUGUAAAGCCCUUUCGGCGGGGAAGAUAAUGACGGUACCCGCAGAAGAAGCCCCGGCUAACUUCGUGCCAGCAGCCGCGGUAAUACGAAGGGGGCUAGCGUUGCUCGGAAUCACUGGGCGUAAAGCGCACGUAGGCGGACUCUUAAGUCGGUGGUGAAAUCCUGGAGCUCAACUCCAGAACUGCCUUCGAUACUGGGAGUCUUCGAGUCCGGGAGAGGUGAGUGGAACUGCGAGUGUAGAGGUGAAAUUCGUAGAUAUUCGCAAGAACACCAGUGGCGAAGGCGGCUCACUGGCCCGGUACUGACGCUGAGGUGCGAAAGCGUGGGGAGCAAACAGGAUUAGAUACCCCCGUAGUCC
rnacentral:rRNA from 1 species